rnacentral:lncRNA from 13 species
CACACAGCUACGGUCUGUAAGAUCUAAUGAUACUUAAAAUGUCAUUGACAGACAGAUGUUUUAUGGAAUCUUUGUCAGGACCCUAUAGGUAAACUAAGGUAAAAACAUUUAGGAUUUUGAAAGAUAUCAUGCCGUCUCUUUCAGUUAACAAGUCUCUUUUUGAGAUGCUUCUGGCUUGCUAUUGGAUCCCACAAAAGCCUGAACUAUCAUUUUGGGUGACCAAAUUACCAUUUAAUCUGAUCUGCCUGUUAUAAAUUCAAUGUUGUCUCACCCAUUAAGCCCUACAUUUGGGCAAAUAGAGCUUUGUUUCACCACUAAAAGGAAAUGAUAUGUACAAGGUUAAGCUUGAGUACUUCCUGAAGGCAUAAACAAGUUGCAUUUGCAAUGACACAGAUUCUCAGGGUGCCAACUCCUCUUACAUAUUCUUUAAUCUUUCAAACCACACUUAAUGGCCAAUCUACUGAGAAAGGAAUUUUUUUUUUUUGCUUUUCAGAUGCUUCUUUCUGGUAUAGUGGACACUAUCUGAAAUGACAAAUGAUAUAUUUUAUAGGGAACAUGAGUUGGUGUCAAGGAGAUCUGCAGAAGUGGUAUAUGGAAAAACAUCUCCAAGUAUAUAAUGUGAAGAUAUCUGCAUCUUAUCUUCCCGUUCUGUCUGAUGGCCAAGAUCAUCCAUACCUCUUCAGUUAUGGAGACAGUAACCUGCAUAGACUUCUUGACCACCUUCCAUACUUACUAAGAGUUGGAUUCCCUGUAGUUCAAAGGAUACAUGUGGAGGUUUGUUACAAAGGUAUACUGCCUGAUGCUGAAGUUUGGAGUAUUACUGAACCCAUCACCCAGGUAGGGAACAUAGUACCCAAUAGGUAG